UGAGGAAUCUUCCGCAAUGGGCGAAAGCCUGACGGAGCGACACCGCGUGAAGGAUGAAGCCUUUGUUGGUGUAAACUUCUUUUCUCUCGGAAGAUAAUGACGGUACGAGAGGAAUAAGGGGCGGCAAACUUCGUGCCAGCAGCCGCGGUAAUACGAAGGCCCCAAGCGUUAUCCGGAAUUACUGGGCGUAAAGCGUCUGUAGGUGGUUUUUUAAGUCUUUCCGUGAAACUUCGGGGCUCAACCCUGAAUUGCGGGAGAAACUGGAAAACUUGAGUGUGGGAGGGGCUAGCAGAACGGUAAGAGUAGGGGUGCAAUCCGUUGAUACUUACCAGAAUACCAAAAGCGAAGGCAGCUAGCUGGAACACUACUGACACUGAGAGACGAAAGCGUGGGGAGCAAAAGGG
rnacentral:rRNA from 1 species